AUUGAACGCUGGCGGCAGGCUUAACACAUGCAAGUCGAGCGGAGUGAUGGUGCUUGCACUAUCACUUAGCGGCGGACGGGUGAGUAAUGCUUAGGAAUCUGCCUAUUAGUGGGGGACAACAUCUCGAAAGGGAUGCUAAUACCGCAUACGUCCUACGGGAGAAAGCAGGGGAUCACUUGUGACCUUGCGCUAAUAGAUGAGCCUAAGUCGGAUUAGCUAGUUGGUGGGGUAAAGGCCUACCAAGGCGACGAUCUGUAGCGGGUCUGAGAGGAUGAUCGGCCACACUGGGACUGAGACACGGCCCAGACUCCUACGGGAGGCAGUAGUGGGGAAUAUUGGACAAUGGGGGGAACCCUGAUCCAGCCAUGCCGCGUGUGUGAAGAAGGCCUUAUGGUUGUAAAGCACUUUAAGCGAGGAGGAGGCUUACCUAGUUAAUACCUGGGAUAAGUGGACGUUACUCGCAGAAUAAGCACCGGCUAACUCUGUGCCAGCCGCCGCCGUAA
rnacentral:rRNA from 1 species